GGGCCCGCACAAGCGGUGGAGCAUGUGGUUUAAUUCGAUGCAACGCGAAGAACCUUACCAGGGUUUGACAUCCUGCGAAUCUCUUGGAAACGAGAGAGUGCCUUCGGGAACGCAGUGACAGGUGGUGCAUGGCUGUCGUCAGCUCGUGUCGUGAGAUGUUGGGUUAAGUCCCGCAACGAGCGCAACCCACGUCGUUAGUUGCCAGCGGGUAAUGCCGGGAACUCUAGCGAAACUGCCGGUGAUAAGCCGGAGGAAGGUGGGGAUGACGUCAAGUCCUCAUGGCCCUUACAGGCUGGGCUACACACGUGCUACAAUGGCGAUGACAGUGGGCAGCGACCCCGCAAGGGUGAGCU
rnacentral:rRNA from 1 species